rnacentral:rRNA from 1 species
GAUGAACGCUGGCGGCGUGCCUAAUACAUGCAAGUCGAGCGAAGCGGGGACGGGUGAGUAACCCGUGGAUAACCUCCUAUAAGACUGGGAUAACUCCGGGAAACCGGAGCUAAACCGGAAACUUAUAGAUGGAUCCACGCUGCAUUAGCUAGUUGGUAAGGUAACGGCUAACCAAGGCAACGAUGCAUAGCCGACCUGAGAGGGUGAUCGGCCAUACUGGAACUGAGACACGGUCCAGACUCCUACGGGAGGCAGCAGUAGGGAAUCUUCCGCAAUGGGCGAAAUCCUGACGCAGCAACGCCGCGUGAGUGAUGAAGGUCUUCGGGUCGUAAAACUCUGUUAUUAGGGAAGCGGUACCUAAACAGAAAGCCACGGCUAACUACGUGCCAGCCGCCGCGGUAAUUC